UGCAUAGCUCCCUAUAUAAAGGCGGGGAUCCUUCGGGACCUGUCGCAAAGGGAUAAGCCCAUUUCCUAUCAGCUUGUUGGUGAGGUAACGGCUCACCAAGGCUUACGGGUAGUUGGUCUGAGAGGAUGAUCAGCAACACUGGGACUGAGACACUGCCCAGACUCCUACGGGAGGCUGCAGUCGAGAAUCAUUGUCAAUGCACGAAAGUGUGAACAUGCGACGCCGCGUGGAGGAAGACGGCCUUUGGGUUGUAAACUCCUGUCAGCAGGGAGUAAGGAUGGGAUUUUUAAUACAAAUACCAUUUGAUAGUACCUGCAGAGGAAGUCACGGCUAACUCUGUGCCAGCAGCCGCGGUAAUACAGAGGUGGCGAACGUUGUUCGGAUUUACUGGGCGUAAAGGGUCCGCAGGCGGUUUGGUGUGUCGGAUGUGAAAGCUCACAGCUCAACUGUGGAAUUGCAUUCGAAACUGCCGAACUAGAGUACUGGAGGGGAGAAGGGAACACUUGGUGUAGCGGUGAAAUGCGUAGAUAUCAAGUGGAACACCGGUGGCGAAGGCGCUUCUCUGGACAGAUACUGACGCUCAUGGACGAAAGUUAGGGUAGCGAAAGGGAUUAGAUACCCCUGUAGUCCUAACCGUAAACGGUGUGCGCUAGGCGUGGGUGGCUUUACCCCCAUCCGUGCCUGAGCUAACGCAUUAAGCGCACCGCCUGGGGAGUACGGUCGCAAGAUUAAAACUCAAAGGAAUUGACGGGGACCCGCACAAGCGGUGGAGCAUGUGGCUUAAUUCGAUGCAACGCGAA
rnacentral:rRNA from 1 species